rnacentral:rRNA from 1 species
UACGUAGGGCGCAAGCGUUGUCCGGAAUUAUUGGGCGUAAAGAGCUCGUAGGCGGUUUGUCGCGUCUGUCGUGAAAGCUUGGGGCUUAACCCCAAGUCUGCGGUGGAUACGGGCAGACUAGAGGCAGGUAGGGGAGAACGGAAUUCCCGGUGUAGCGGUGAAAUGCGCAGAUAUCGGGAGGAACACCGGUGGCGAAGGCGGCAUCCUGGACCGGCAUUGACGCUGAGGAGCGAAAGCUAGGGGAGCAAACGGG